rnacentral:misc_RNA from 1 species
GUCUUCUAGUCGUCCUCACCGGUACAGCUUCUCUCGUUGGUUAACCCAAACUAACCACCAUCAUCACCAUGAAUGAUCCUUCAACCGUUCUCAUUCUCGCGGUUUUGAUCGCUUCUACUGCGACCCAUGUGAGCUCUGAUGCCUCUAAUCAUCGCUACAAGGAAGCUGACCCUGUUCCUCUCUAUGCCAAUAAGGUUGGCCCCUUUCACAACCCCAGUGAAAC